AGUGAACGCUGGCGGUAGGCCUAACACAUGCAAGUCGAACGGCAGCACAGUAAGAGCUUGCUCUUACGGGUGGCGAGUGGCGGACGGGUGAGGAAUACAUCGGAAUCUACUUUUUCGUGGGGGAUAACGUAGGGAAACUUACGCUAAUACCGCAUACGAUCUACGGGUGAAAGCAGUGGAUCUUCGGACCUUGCGCGAUUGAAUGAGCCGAUGUCGGAUUAGCUAGUUGGCGGGGUAAAGGCCCACCAAGGCGACGAUCCGUAGCUGGUCUGAGAGGAUGAUCGGCCACACUGGAACUGGGACACGGUCAAGACUCCUACGGGAGGCAGCAGUGGGGAAUAUUGGACAAUGGGCGCAAGCCUGAUCCAGCCAUACCGCGUGGGUGAAGAAGGCCUUCGGGUUGUAAAGCCCUUUUGUUGGGAAAGAAAAGCAGCAGGUUAAUACCCCGCGGUUCUGACGGUACCCAAAGAAUAAGCACCGGCUAACUACGUG
rnacentral:rRNA from 1 species